GUCUCUUUGUACUUUAUAGAUAAAGAGUCGGGCCUGCUCGGUGAAUGUAAAUUGUUUUAACAGCUGCGGUAUUUUAACUGUACUAAGGUAGCAUAAUAAUUUGCCUUAUAAUUUGAGGCUAGAAUGAAUGGUUUGACGAAGGUUAAUCUGUCUCUAUCUUAUUUAUUAGAAUUUAAUUUUUAAAGUGAAAAAGCUUAAAUUUUUUAAAGGGACGAGAAGACCCUAUUGAGCUUAUAAUUUUAUUGUUAUUUUAUUCUUAAUGUAUAAAGUAGCAUAUAAAUUUUAAUUGGGGUGAUUAAGGAAUAAAUUAAUAAAAUUAAGUAACUUCCUUAGUUUAAAUAUUGUUGAAUAAAGUAACCAAUAUUAUUGCUUAUAGUAUAGUUACCAUAGGGAUAACAGCGUAAUUUAUUUAGAGAGUUCUUAUUGAAAAAUGAGAUUGCGACCUCGAUGUUGGAUUAAAGUAACCUUAAGGUGCAGAGGCUUUAAAAGGUAAAUCUGUUCGAUUUUUAAAACUUUACA
rnacentral:rRNA from 1 species